rnacentral:tRNA from 1 species
GCCCGCGUAGCUCAGGGGUAGAGCGUUCCCUUGGUAAGGGAAAGGCCACCGGUUCGAUUCCGGUCGCGGGCUCCA